rnacentral:rRNA from 1 species
CGGGUGAGUAACGCGUGGGUAACCUGCCUUAUACAAGGGGAUAACAGAGGGAAACUUCUGCUAAUACCGUAUAAAAAUAUUUCACGCAUGUGAGAUAUUUGAAAGAUUUAUCAGUAUGAGAUGGACCCGCGUCUGAUUAGGUAGUUGGUGAGGUAGAGGCUCACCAAGCCGACGAUCGGUAGCCGAUCUGAGAGGAUGACCGGCCACAUUGGGACUGAGACACGGCCCAA